rnacentral:piRNA from 1 species
UGGUCUGUGUGUGUGUGUUUG